rnacentral:rRNA from 1 species
AACGAACGCUGGCGGCAGGCUUAACACAUGCAAGUCGAACGCCCCGCAAGGGGAGUGGCAGACGGGUGAGUAACGCGUGGGAACAUACCCUUUCCUGCGGAAUAGCUCUGGGAAACUGGAAUUAAUACCGCAUACGCCCUACGGGGGAAAGAUUUAUCGGGGAAGGAUUAGCCCGCGUUGGAUUAGCUAGUUGGUGGGGUAAAGGCCUACCAAGGCGACGAUCCAUAGCUGGUCUGAGAGGAUGAUCAGCCACAUUGGGACUGAGACACGGCCCAAACUCCUACGGGAGGCAGCAGUGGGGAAUAUUGGACAAUGGGCGCAAGCCUGAUCCAGCCAUGCCGCGUGAGUGAUGAAGGCAUUAGGGUUGUAAAGCUCUUUCACCGAUGAAGAUAAUGACGGUAGUCGGAGAAGAAGCCCCGGCUAACUUCGUGCCAGCCGCCGCCGUAAUAC